rnacentral:rRNA from 1 species
UGAGUAACACGUGAGGAACCUGCCUUCCAGAGGGGGACAACAGUUGGAAACGACUGCUAAUACCGCAUGACACAUUUGAAUCGCAUGGUUUGAAUGUCAAAGAUUUAUCGCUGGAAGAUGGCCUCGCGUCUGAUUAGCUAGUAGGCGGGGUAACGGCCCACCUAGGCGACGAUCAGUAGCCGGACUGAGAGGUUGACCGGCCACAUUGGGACUGAGAUACGGCCCAGACUCCUACGGGAGGCAGCAG